CACUGAGUAGGAGAUUGGGAUCUGCUGCAGAGUCUCUGAUAGCCAUCUUCCCAGAAGUUCUGUUCUGGAUGGAACUCAGGACCUUGUGCUUGCUAGGCACGCAUGGCACCACUGAGCUAAAUCCCCAGCCCUAUUUUUUUUUGAGGAGUUCACAGCUAAGAGUUUGCCUUGAGCCUCAGAAGAGACUUUGGACUUGGAGUAUUCAGCACUGCUAAAACUGUUAAAAUUUUAACAAUUCUUAGAGGGAUGGACUAAAUGUAUUUUGCAUAAUGAGAUAUGAUUGUGCAGCCCUUAUAUGAAGACCUAGACCGAAAGAAAUCAGAAUGUGAGGCCUGAGAAGACUUUCCCAAGGUUGGCUAUAUGAGGGGUGGGCGCUGCCUGUCUCAGGAGACGUCCUUGGUACCAGCAUCUUUUUCUUCAGACCUGCCAUCUGUUCCAGUGAAUAAUUCUACCAACCACGUUUUCCAUGAUUUGCCUCAUUAUGUCUCCACGUCCUUUACACA
rnacentral:lncRNA from 1 species